GUGCUCACUUUGGCAGCAUAUAGACUAAAACUGGAAUGAUGCAGAGAAGAUUAACAUGGCCCCGGUGCAAGGAUGACAUGCAAAUUCAUGAAGCAUUCUAUAUUUUU
rnacentral:snRNA from 1 species